GACGAACGCUGGCGGCGUGCUUAACACAUGCAAGUCGAACGGAAAGGCCCUGCUUUUGUGGGGUGCUCGAGUGGCGAACGGGUGAGUAACACGUGAGUAACCUGCCCUUGACUUUGGGAUAACUUCAGGAAACUGGGGCUAAUACCGGAUAGGAGCUCCUGCUGCAUGGUGGGGGUUGGAAAGUUUCGGCGGUUGGGGAUGGACUCGCGGCUUAUCAGCUUGUUGGUGGGGUAGUGGCUUACCACGGCUUUGACGGGUAGCCGGCCUGAGAGGGUGACCGGCCACAGUGGGACUGAGAUACGGCCCAGACUCCUACGGGCGGCAGCAGUGGGGAAUAUUGCACAAUGAGCGGAAGCCUGAUGCAGCAACGCCGCGUGCGGGAUGACGGCCUUCGGGUUGUAAACCGCUUUCGCCUGUGACGAAGCGUGAUUGACGGUAAUGGGUAAAGAAGCACCGGCUAACUACGUG
rnacentral:rRNA from 1 species